rnacentral:rRNA from 1 species
CCUACGGGAGGCAGCAGUGAGGAAUAUUGGUCAAUGGGCGCGAGCCUGAACCAGCCAAGUAGCGUGAAGGAUGACUGCCCUAUGGGUUGUAAACUUCUUUUAUAAAGGAAUAAAACGAGGCACGUGUGCCUUUUUGCAUGUACUUUAUGAAUAAGGAUCGGCUAACUCCGUGCCAGCAGCCGCGGUAAUACGGAGGAUCCGAGCGUUAUCCGGAUUUAUUGGGUUUAAAGGGAGCGUAGAUGGGUUGUUAAGUCAGUUGUGAAAGGUUGCGGCUCAACCGUAAAAUUGCAUUUGAUACUGUAAGUCUUGAGUACAGUUGAGGUAGGCGGAAUGCAUGGUGUAGCGGUGAAAGGCGUAGAUAUCAGGAAGAACACCGAUUGCGAAGGCAGCUUACUAAACUGUAACUGACGUUGAGGCUCGAAAGUGUGGGGAGCAAACAGGAUUAGAUACCCCAGUAGUC